rnacentral:rRNA from 1 species
AGAACGAACGCUGGCGGCAUGCCUAAUACAUGCAAGUCGAACGAAGGCUUCGGCCUUAGUGGCGCACGGGUGCGUAGCGCGUGGGAAUCUGCCCCUUGGUUCGGAAUAACAGUUAGGAAACGACUGCUAAUACCGGAUGAUGAACGAAAGUCCAAAGAUUUAUCGCCAAGGGAUGAGCCCGCGUAGGAUUAGCUAGUUGGUGAGGUAAAGGCUCACCAAGGCGACGAUCCUUAGCUGGUAUGAGAGGAUGAUCAGCCACACGUGGGACUGAGACACGGCCCAGACUCCGUACGGGAGGCAGCAGUAGGGAAUAGUGGACAAGUGGGACGAAAGCCUGAAUCCAGCAAGUGCCGCGUGAGUGAUGAAGGCCGUUAGGGUUGUAAAGCUUCUUUACCCGAGAU